UCGGGAAUUUUGGGCAAUGGGCGAAAGCCUGACCCAGCAACGCCGCGUGAGGGAUGAAGUAUUUCGGUAUGUAAACCUCGAAAGAAUGGGAAGAAUAAAUGACGGUACCAUUUAUAAGCUCCGGCUAACUACGUGCCAGCAGCCGCGGUAAUACGUAGGGAGCAAGCGUUGUUCGGAUUUACUGGGCGUAAAGGGCGCGUAGGCGGCGCGGUAAGUCACUUGUGAAAUCUCUGAGCUUAACUAAGAACGGCCAAGUGAUACUGCUGUGCUAGAGUGCGGAAGAGGCAACCGUAAUUCUUGGUGUAGCGGUGAAAUGCGUAGAUAUCAAGAGGAACACCGGAGGCGAAGGCGGGUUGCUGGGCCGACACUGACGCUGAUGCGCGAAAGCCAGGGGAGCAAACG
rnacentral:rRNA from 1 species